AUUUGAGGCAUAGUUGUUAUUGUGGUACUGCACAAUAUUGGAUGUAGCUAAUCUCUUGGUGUAAUAACAUGCACUUAUUGCUGAAUAUCAAUAAAACUACCUUUACCUGUCAAAAGAACACAAAAGUAUUGUUUUAUUAACCUAGAAGAUUUGAAUGUUUAAUGUAGAGGUCUGCAAAGAAAGUAGACACCUUGCAUAAAUCCCUCUCGCCACUAUGUACCAUUUUUCUGGAGUAGGGAGUGGGUGGUAUGAGGUCACUUUUAUGUACAUUCAGGUGUAGGGAAAUUGUUUACAGUCUUUAGAUGAUACUGCGUUUUAUCCUUUUCCACUUUAAAGUCUCUUAAACAACUUCAUUAAAAAAAUUUGUCUUGCAUGCAGCACCAGACACUAGUAAGGAACUAAAUCCCGAUGUACCUUCAUUAACUCUUGAUCCAAGUCAGUUUCAUGGUACCAUGCGGCAUGCAAAGGGUGAGGGUGACUCUGAUUGCUGGUCUUCGCCAAGUGGUUCUGGUUUCAUGAUCAGAGGGAAGACAUACUUGAAAGACAGUACGAAGGUAGCUUUUAAUUCUUGAAUCCAAAUAUUUGGAUCAAGCUUUCACAUGUUCCUGAAUUUUUUUUUCCAGCUUUCUAAUUCCUGCUUCUCUUUCGUUAGCUAAUUAAUUACAAGAGUCACCUAUUUAGCAGUUUUGAGUGUAAAGAAAAGAACAAAGACCUAGGGUAUUAUUGACUCAUAAAAAAUUGUGCCUAUGGACAAUUUGUUUGUUUUUAUUCAUUGCUGAUAACCAAGGGAUGCCAAUUGAUUUUUUGAGCUCUAUCUUUAAAAAAAAAGAAAUUUAUUUUUGAGCUCAGUACAUAAUAUGUGAUUUGAGGCAUAGUUGUUAUUGUGGUACUGCACAAUAUUGGAUGUAGCUAAUCUCUUGGUGUAAUAACAUGCACUUAUUGCUGAAUAUCAAUAAAACUACCUUUACCUGUCAAAAGAACACAAAAGUAUUGUUUUAUUAACCUAGAAGAUUUGAAUGUUUAAUGUAGAGGUCUGCAAAGAAAGUAGACACCUUGCAUAAAUCCCUCUCGCCACUAUGUACCAUUUUUCUGGAGUAGGGAGUGGGUGGUAUGAGGUCACUUUUAUGUACAUUCAGGUGUAGG
rnacentral:lncRNA from 1 species